rnacentral:pre_miRNA from 14 species
AAGUAGGUCUCUCAGGACGAGGGUGGUCGUUCAUCCUGGACGAGCCCCCAAAUGAAAGACCCCCAGAACGGGGAGACCCUCACUCAAGUCUCGGGAUGAUACGACCCCCCAAGAACUCACGUGAGA